UGGUAGUNCACGCCGUAAACGAUGAGUGCUAGGUGUUAGGCCCUUUCCGGGGCUUAGUGCCGGAGCUAACGCAAUAAGCACUCCGCCUGGGGAGUACGACCGCAAGGUUGAAACUCAAAGGAAUUGACGGGGGCCCGCACAAGCGGUGGAGCAUGUGGUUUAAUUCGAAGCAACGCGAAGAACCUUACCAGGUCUUGACAUCCCGAUGCUAUUCUUAGAGAUAGGAAGUUACUUCGGUACAUCGGAGACAGGUGGUGCAUGGUUGUCGUCAGCUCGUGUCGUGAGAUGUUGGGUUAAGUCCCGCAACGAGCGCAACCCUUAUUGUUAGUUGCCAUCAUUAAGUUGGGCACUCUAGCGAGACUGCCGGUAAUAAACCGGAGGAAGGUGGGGAUGACGUCAAAUCAUCAUGCCCCUUAUGACCUGGGCUACACACGUGCUACAAUGGUCGGUACAACGAGUUGCGAGCCGGUGACGGCAAGCUAAUCUCUGAAAGCCGAUCUCAGUUCGGAUUGGAGGCUGCAACUCGCCUCCAUGAAGUCGGAAUCGCUAGUAAUCGCGGAUCAGCACGCCGCGGUGAAUACGUUCCCGGGCCUUGUACACACCGCCCGUCACACCACGAGAGUUUGUANCACCCGAAGUCGGUGAGGUA
rnacentral:rRNA from 1 species